UACGUAGGCAGGAAGCGUUGUUCGGAAUUACUGGGCGUAAAAGGUGCGUAGGCGGUUGGCUAAGUUUGGUGUGGAAUCUCCCGGCUUAACUGGGAGGGUGCGCCGAAAACUGGCUGGCUAGAGUGUGGGAGAGGGAAGUGGAAUUCCUGGUGUAGCGGUGAAAUGCGUAGAUAACAGGAGGAACACCUGAGGUGUAGACGGCUUCCUGGACCAUUACUGACGCUGAGGCACGAAAGCGUGGGGAGCAAACAGG
rnacentral:rRNA from 1 species